rnacentral:rRNA from 1 species
CCUACGGGAGGCAGCAGUAGGGAAUAUUGCUCAAUGGGGGAAACCCUGAAGCAGCAACGCCGCGUGGAGGAUGAAGGUUUUCGGAUUGUAAACUCCUUUUGUUAGAGAAGAUAAUGACGGUAUCUAACGAAUAAGCACCGGCUAACUUCGUGCCAGCAGCCGCGGUAAUACGGAGGGUGCAAGCGUUUCUCGGAAUCACUGGGCGUAAAGAGCGCGGAGGCGGGAUAGCAAGUCAGAUGUGAAAUCCUAUGGCUUAACCAUAGAACUGCAUUUGAAACUGGUAUUCUUGAGUAUGGGAGAGGUAGGUGGAAUUCUUGGUGUAGCGGUGAAAUGCGUAGAGAUCAAGAGGAAUACUGAUGGCGAAGGCGACCAGCUAGAACAUAACUGACGCUGAGGCGCGAAAGCGUGGGGAGCAAACAGGAUUAGAUACCCUGGUAGUC